GGUUGAUCCUGCCGGACCCGACUGCUAUCGGAUUGAGAUUUAGCCAUGCGAGUCGAACGCUUCCCUGUUGCGGGAGGCGUGGCGUACGGCUCAGUAACACGUAGUCAACCUGCCCUGGAGACAUGGACAACCCCGGGAAACUGGGAUUAAUCCAUGAUAGGUCAUCUCAUCUGGAAGGAGAGAUGGCUUAAAGGGGUGCGAGAGCUUCUUUCUUGUAUCUGCUCCAGGAUGGGACUGCGGCCGAUCAGGCUGUUGGUGGGGUAAUGGCCCACCAAACCUGUAACCGUACGGGCCUUGAGAGGGGGGGCCCGGGAGAUGGACACUGAGAGAAGGGUCCAGGUCCUACGGGGCGCAGCAGGCGCGAAACCUCCGCAAUGCGCGAAAGCGUGACGAGGUUAAUCCGAGUGGUCCCCGCUGAGGGGAUCUUUUGUCGGCUGUAAAAAGGCCGGUGAAUAAGGGGAGGGCAAGUCUGGUGUCAGCCGCCGCGGUAAUACCAGCUCCUCGAGUGGUCGAGGCGAUUAUUGGGCCUAAAGCAUCCGUAGCCUGUUCUGUAGGUCCUCUGUUAAAUCCAACGGCUUAACCGUUGGCCCGCAGAGGAUACCGCAGGACUAGGAGGCGGGAGAGGUGGACGGUACUCCACGUGUAGGGGUAAAAUCCUUUAAUCCGUGGAAGACCACCAGUGGCGAAGGCGGUCCACCAGAACGCGCUCGACGGUGAGGGAUGAAAGCUGGGGGAGCGAACCGGAUUAGAUACCCGGGUAGUCCCAGCCGUAAACGAUGCAAGCUAGAUGAUCCGGUCGCAAAUCGCGAUCGGAGUGUCGCAGGGAAGCCGUUAAGCUUGCCGCCUGGGGAGUACGGUCGCAAGACUGAAACUUAAAGGAAUUGGCGGGGGAGCACCACAAGGGGUGAAGCCUGCGGUUCAAUUGGAGUCAACGCCAGGAAACUUACCAGGAGAGACAGCAGGUUGAGGGUCAAGCUGAAGACUUUACCUGACGAGCUGAGAGGAGGUGCAUGGCCGUCGCCAGCUCGUGCCGUGAGGCGUCCUGUUAAGUCAGGCAACGAGCGAGACCCAAAGGGCGAAUU
rnacentral:rRNA from 2 species